CAGUGGCGAACGGGUGCGUAACACGUGGGAAUCUGCCUUUUAGUGAAGGAUACCUCCGAGAAAUCGGGGCUAAUACUGCAUAUUUCCCUUCGGGGAUAAAGACGGCCUCUUGCUGUCGCUAAAAGAUGAGCCCGCGGGCUAUUAGCUUGUUGGUAAGGUAAAAGCUUACCAAGGCGAUGAUGGCUAGCCGACCUGAGAGGGUGGUCGGCCACACUGGGACUGAGAUACGGCCCAGACUCCUACGGGAGGCAGCGGUAGGGAAUAUUGCACAAUGGGCGAAAGCCUGAUGCAGCGACGCCGCGUGGAGGAUGAAGGUCUUCGGAUUGUAAACUUCUGUUAAGUGGGAAGAAAUGUUUGUGGUUAAUACCCGCAGAAGAUGACGGUACCACUAGAGAAAGCUCCGGCUAACUUCGUGCCAGCAGCCGCGGUAAUACGAAGGGAGCUAGCGUUAUUCGGAAUUACUGGGCGUAAAGAGCGUGUGGGCGGUUGAUUAAGUCAGUUGUUAAAUUCCUCGGCUUAACUGAGGGUCGGCAGUUGAUACUGGUCAGCUAGAGGGCAAGAGAGAGAAGUAGAAUUCUCGGAGUAGCGGUAAAAUGCAUAGAUCUCGAGAGGAAUACCGGUUGCGAAGGCGGCUUCUUGGCUUGUCCCUGACGCUAAAGCGCGAAAGCGUGGGGGAGCAAACAGGAUUAGAUACCCUGGUAGUCCACGCCGUAAACGAUGAUCACUAGAUGUAG
rnacentral:rRNA from 1 species